GGAUGCGAUCAUACCAGCACUAAAUCACCGGAUCCCAUCAGAACUCCGAAGUUAAGCGUGCUUGGGCGAGAGUAGUACUAGGAUGGGUGACCUCUUGGGAAGUCCUCGUGUUGCAUUCC
rnacentral:rRNA from 1 species